ensembl:lncRNA
GGUCCCAUGUUAAUUUUCAACCUAGUAGUUAUCAUAGCCCUGCAACAUAUGAGCUAAGCCACUCUACCAAUCUUACAAUGGAGAGGUAUGACUCAGGUGACACCUUAGGCUUCUUCUUAUCUUCAAGGAAUCAGAAGGGUAUUCAUUGGUGAUGCUUGAGACCAUCUGCCCGAGAGCAGAAUUGUCAAAAAAAUAGACUAGGGCUAUUUUGUUUCUUUUCUGUUCUUAUAACAUCAACAGCCUCCAGCUUUUGAAAAUUAUUUUAAUUGUUAAGGGUAGCCUGGAGAGGAGAAGGUUCAGAGGAGACCUUAUCAUUCUCUACAACCCCCUGAAAUGGGGUUGUAACCAGGUGGGGGUUGGUCUCUUCUCCCAGGCAAUCAGUGACAGGACAAGAGGACACAGCCUUAGGCUGCACCAGGGGAGUUUUAAGUUGGACAUUAGGAAGAAGUUUUUCAUAGAAAGGGUGACUGGGCAUUGAAAUGGGCUCCCCAGGGGGGUGGUAGACUCUCUGUCCCUAGAGGUGCUUAAGGAAGGACAGGAUGUGGCACACAGUGCUAUGGUCUAUUUGACAUGGUUGUGUUGGGUCAUAGAUUGAACUCAAUGACCUCAAAGGUCUUUUCCAACCUAGUUUAUUCUGUGAUAUUUUGAGCAUUUAAGUCCUUGAAAUUAUUGUUAUAAAUAAUGAUAAUUAGCAAAUAUAUGCUGUCAUUCUUACUUGCAGAAAAUUGUAGCAGAGUAAAUCAAAGGCUUUAAAAUCAUAUCCUAGUACUUUAGAAGUAAGGAAACCAAGAUCAAAGCAGCAAUCUGGUAGACAGGUAAAAAUAAGAGAGGCAAAAUUGUUCUGUGCCAUCUCUACCCUCUUGUGCUUAAUCCUACAGAAGGCUGAGUUCCCUCAAGGUCCAGGAGCUUCAAAGUUUUCUCUUGCUGUAAAUUUCACUAGUUCUCCUGAAUGUUAUGGUCUUUGAAGGCAAUGAAGCACACUGAUCACUCUAUUAGCCAUUAAGCAAUACACAGCCUCCCCUUUCCUGUAAUGAGUGGGAUAAUCUUCUUUGCCUAUUUAUGAAGUCUUCUAAGGCCACAGAGUUGGAAACUGAUGUAAUUUGCAUUCCUCUGCUUCUCUGUGUCUUUCCUUAAGUUCAGAGCAGGACAACAGCAAAGCAAAGCAGAGUUCUUUCUAUUAUUUAAAAAGAUUAUUAUAUCAUCACUUCCUGAAGUAUGGAGGUGUUCAUUACAAACAGUCUGUGAAAGGCCAAGGACUUAGAAACCCAUUAUUGUACUGUUGCUCUUACUGUGCUUACUAAAUACUAUUUUCUGCAAAGAAAUAAACGGUUAGAAAAUCUUAAUCUUCUUCAAGUGGGAGGACAUUUGAAUUGAUGUGUGUAAACUAAGUUUAUAUACAUAACAUAUUAACAGAGGGAUUUCCAGGUUGAGGUGUUGCUCGGGUUGGGGCUGUCCAAAUAAGGGAUGCUACAUUUACAUACUCACAUGUGUGUCUUCCCAACAGCAAUUGUUAUGUUAUGUCCCAUAGAACUUUAUGCUGGGGUGACAAAAUGUAGCCAUGCAGUCUCUGAUUCCUUGGUCAUUUCAUUGGUAGGCACUAUUUCAAUAAUUUUUUAAAGUUGAUCACAAACCAGCAGCUGACUAAAACCCUUUGUGAACUUCUGUGUCCAAAAUCACCCAUUCAGAAUGGCAGAGCACUGUCAAAGCAAGCAUGACAUCCAGCAAGACCACGUCCCUCUUCAUCUCCUUCAUUCCCCAUUGCAGUGCAUGUUGAGGGGUGACCCAGUAAAUCCCACCGGGGCCAGGUGCUGAAGGUGCUCUGAGAGGGAAGGAGCUUUUGAUGUUAGCACUGCCCGAAUCCUUCCUCCCAGCUCUUGGGCCCUAGGGCUUUCAGAUCAAAGCUGAAGCAUUACUGCAGAGAGCAGAAUGGUUUGCCAAAAAAAAGGAGGAAAGUCUGCCAAAAAGAAAGCUCACUGAACACUUAGGGUGUGUUUAAGAAGCAUCAACCUUCAGUUCUUGCUGGUAGCAGCUCUGUAGUCCCAGCGGACCUGCUUGCCAUGGGAGCAGCAGCACCUUCUCCCCUCUCACUGUCUCAGUGUUUCCUAUAGCUCCUGCAGCUUGGCCUUAGAAAAGAUCCCAGAAAGGGGAUCAGCUGUCAGAUUCUGAUCCUGAUGAAACUCAGGACAGAAUAACAGACAUCUCUGCUGAGCAUGUUCAAUCACUUUGAUUUUAAAAUUAAUAGUGCUGGUAUAAGCUGCGGGUGAUGAUUGCUAAAAAUGUACUACAGAAUUUGGACUACUAUCUUGGAGUAGCCAAGAAAAAAGUUUUUUUGCCCCUUCCUACUAAAUCCUGAUAAAUCCUUUUGUGCCAAUUGUGUUAGCAUUCUCUUCUUCUCCUCCGUGUCUCUAAGUAAUUUUUUUCCUUUGUGCUGUUUUGAAUCCUUAUCAUGAUGUUGGUACUUCCCAGUUGGGUGUCAGAGGCACCCAGAUAAUUUUGGUCAUUAAUCCUUGUUUGAGUCUGUGUUAUUAGCAGAAAUUUUAAGCAUGCUACAUCUUAAGACUUGUGUUUUGGGAUUUCCACCAGUAACUUUCCUGUUCCUUUUCUCAUUGCUACUGCAGUCAGUUUCUGAGCAAAUCUAUGAUUCUUACGCUGAGGACAAUCUCUUCCAGUUUAACUGUUCUUCAUAUGGCACCAUAUGUAAAUUAUCUUAAAUUUAAAUAAAUUAAAUUUAGGACAUUUCACUAGCAAUUACCAUACAAACCCCCAAAAUAUCAAGACAUUUUGGCUUUAUCUACUCUGAAAAAAAAAGUAUUUCUAUCUUAUUUCCUAUGUAUUUCCAUAUCUUCCAUUUUUCUUUCCUUAACAAUUCUUUCUCAAGUCUUCAAUACUGUUAAGAGCCUCAUAAUUACAUAUAUUCAAUUAAUUGAUGUUUGAGGUGUGGCAUAUCACUAGCUUGACUAGUUCACUGGAGACUCUUCCUGUCCCUUCUUUUGCAUAUUUGGAACUGUAGGGAUUUGGCUUCCACUUCGAAUGUGCUAUUUUCUAUCUCCCUUCCUUCACUGGUGCCAGUGAGAAUUGAAUCUGGCCUUUUGUUGGAAGCAGCAAGCGACAGCAUGUACACAAACCUGGGAAUUCAAAGAGGGGCAGAUGGGAUUUCAGAGGCUGUUUUUGAUAAUUUGUCCUUACACAUUUGUCCUAGUACACACGAGGCAUAACAGUAAGCAAAAGAAGGGAAAAUUAGUCAUCUUGCUAAUGGACAAUUUGUCUCCUGGAUGUCUCCCUAAUGAGGGGGGGUCCCUUACAGGCUGUUGCCUUUGUAGAACUCAAGCCCCAGGUGUCACAGUAAGCAUUUCACACUGUAAUGUGGAAUUUGCCUGCUGCAAUUCCUUUUAGAGAAGCUAAUUGUGAGUUUCAUUGAGUGUUUUCUGGAUCAGAGAUAUCUGACCUACCUGGGUCAGGGCAACUGUCUGGUAUCAGCACAGGCUGGGGGAUAAAUACCUGUGGAGCAGCCCUGCCCAGAAGGACCUGGGGGUGCUGGUGGGUGAGAGGCUGGACAUGACCCAGCCAUGGGCACUCCCAGCCCAGAGAGCCAAACGUGUUCUGGGCUGCACCGAAAGCAGCGUGGGCAGCAGGGCAGGGAGGUUUUGUCCCCCUGCUCUGCUCUGGUGAGAGAGACCCCACCUGGAACACGGCACCCAGCUCUGGGCUCCCAGCAGAAGAAGGACAUGGAUGGGUUGGAGCAGGCCCAGAUGAGGGUCACAAAAACUAUCAGAGGGAUGGGAAACCACUUACAAGGAAAGGCUGAGAGAAUAUAGGCUGUUCAGCCUAGGAAAGAGAACACUUUGAGAAGACCUUCAGGCAGUCUCCAUGUACCUAAAGACAGCUUAUGAGACAUAUGAUGACUAAUUUUUUAGCAGAUCCUGCUGUGAUAGGACAAGGUAAAAUGGUUUUAAAGAAAAAGAGGGUAGAUUUUAAUUUGAUCUAAGAUAGACGUUUUUACAAUGAGGGUGAAGGGACCCUGGAACAGAUUUCCCAGAGAGGUGGUGGAUACCCCAGCCCUAGAAAUAUUCAAGGCUACACUAGACAGGGUUCUGAGCAACCUGAUCUAGUUGAAGAUAUCCCUGCUCAUUGCAGGGAGUGUUGGACCAAGAACCUUUAAAGGUCCCUUACAAACCAAACUAUUCUAUGGUUCUAUGAUCUUCAUAGUCAACAACAUUAAUCGCUAGUUCUGUUUCUGAAAUUUCUUGCACUAAAAAAGAAAAAGUACAGUUUUAAUUACUUAUAUUAAGAUAAAAGUAUUUUAUCUUUUACAUUUAUUGCAUCUAUUGUAUCUGCAAAAUACCUUUCUCCUUAGCAUUCCAAAUAUGCAUUGGCAUUUGACAGUAUAUAUAUUUUGGCAGAGAUGAGAGCAAAUUAACAGGCUGAUGGCAUUUUAAUUAUUUUAUUGAGAUGGCAUUGGCCCAGCAUGCUUGUUGGAAUUUGCAAAUGUGCGUUGAUUUAUAUUUUAUUUUGUAAACUAGGCCCAAGAGGCUGACUAAUUAGAAACAUGACUCAAAGCUAUAAGGGGUACUUAUUGAUUCAGAUCAUGAAAAGACCAGAAUGAUCAAAAGCAAACAUCUAUCUCCCUCUUCAUCUGGGGUUCAGGAGGUUAAGUGCCAUUUGUCUCAAAUCCCUGGCAUUACCUCUCUGUAACAGAGAACACAAUUAGCAUCUACAUCUACUUGGUUUUAGAAUGUACUGCAUUGCCUAAACCAAUGUGAUUUUCAUGAUUAAACUAUGCAUAAUAAUCUAUUAUCAACUCCUUUCAUUAGCUGAUAUUUUGGUUUAUUCUCCACUUAAUUUAUAUUUUUCAUUCUAUUUAUUUAAAGUUGGAAAUGUAUGGCUUCACUUUUAGAAGAAAUAGCAUGAUUGGCUAAGUAGAUAGGUUUUGUGCUGCACAUCUAAUUAAAAUACCAUGGCAGCAUCUAAUCACUUCAUUAGUUACUUGGGACCAAUUUUAAAUGGCAUCAACAGUUCUGUGUUGCUAUAAUACAGCAAAAAGUGCUAAAAUGUUAAUGCAUUCAUGAGGUAGCGACAGAAAAGGCAAAUCAGAAGUGUUUUUUACUGUCUGUGCUUCUCCAGGUCUUCAGUGGAGCCUGGCUUCAGGACUGACAAGGAAGGCAAUGUGCAUGUUGAAAACAGACAUUGAAUUCAAAUUCAUCCUGAAUGUACCUGAGAGAGAAUUUGUUUUUUGGGGAAGAGAGCAGGAAGCAUCCAUACCUGCCUUCUUCUGCUCUCUGUUUUGCCAGGGUGGGACCAGUUUUGAGCUGAUCUGGGUGCAUUCUUCUGUGCCACCAAACCACUGCAAAGGGGAAUUCUGUUUUCAAGGGUAUCUCAGAUUUUUAGGCACCUUUUCCAGAUUGCAGAGCCUAAUGUAAGAAACGUGAUUUACUUUUUAAUAUGUAAAAAAAGCACAGAUAAAUGUCAGGCUCUUUUGAGUACUCUUCUGUUGCUCUGCCUGUGCUGUCUCACCAUGGUGCACAUGGAAAGCAAAGCUAAUUGCAUUAGCACUGGGGUGCAGCAAGAAGCAUAUUGUAACUGGGCUUGGAAAGCGGAGCUCACAGGCCUCUGCCUGCUGCAACUGCCUGUGCCAAAGCAUUCAUUACUGUGAGCUGGAAAUAUUCACACCCUCCCACACACAAGGACUGGAUUGAGAAACUUUCAUAUUGCAGAGUUACUGAAAUUAUUAAAUACAAAAACAAAGGAUGUCUCAUAUAGGAGACUGAUUGAGGUUUAGCAGUGCCAAAGGGAAGCAGGACUUUCCAUUCCAAAUCAAUGGGCUUUAGUAACAACUGCCACCAAAUCAUUGCAAUUUCACUGCUACUCAGUGCCACAGCACAAGUAGCUUAAUACACUUCUACCUGCAGAAGAAAAAAAAAAUACCAGUAUUUUUUCCAGUGAUGUUUAUAGCCUCAAAUGUGACACCAAGCACUGAGCAACCUCAGCUUUCCUUGCUGGUGCAGGCACCUGAAGGUGCUCAGUGUGGGCUGCACUUACUCUCUCUGUGCUGCACUCCACUUUCUUCCUCAAAGGUGUGAGUUUCCAGCAGUCACAGAGUGUAAGGCAGAACCCCACUGGAUGUCUGCCUGCUUUGUUCCUGCCCAGUGGGUGACUAUGUUGAACAGGAGCAGGACUAGUGGAGGCUGAAGACAUGGUGACAUGAAGUAAUCUGCAGGUUACAGACAUAACUAAAAGAUUUAUGCCUCCCCCAAGUUACUCCAUCCCAGCUUGUGACCAGUCAUGUAAAAGAUUAAGUCAGGUCAACUCCAAUUUGCUCGGACUCAGCUUGUUCCGUGUCAGGGCUUUAAACCACACUUACAUGGCAUCUAUUUACAAUAAAAAUUAAAAAAAAUAUCUGCAGACAGUGUUUAAAAACCAGGCUUCUAUAACCAAAUC